rnacentral:sRNA from 1 species
UCAAACAAAAUUUAAGGCUUUCAAGUUUAAUUUCUCAAUCUUGUGUUUUUCAGGUUCCUGGUUCUAAUGGCGACUGUUCCGGAUAAAUGCCAAUGGAGUCCCCGGGUAUUGUGGUCCUGGUGGCAGCCUCUGCGGCCAAUAGGGUCCCUUUUAGGUUCUCGUUUGUCCGUCCGUCCGUCUAGUCCUUGGGGUUUUCUGAUGUGCUGCUUUCUCAGCACCGUAAGAUCAACAUUGGCUGAUGGGCAAGGAAAUAUCCUCUACUAUCCACUACCUAACCUAACUAUGAGCUCAUGCUUAGGUUACUCUAUAGAACCCAACCAAAGGAAAAAACUUUUUUAACAAAAUAAAUCCGUCGAGAGUCAACCGUCUGUAUGCCUGUCUGUUUAUAGUCGGAGAAACUUUUUGGACUACCUUAUGAACACUGGGGUAUGCAACAGCGUCUAGGUCCCUUGGUGGAGUAGCGACAGGGGUUGUGGGUAUGCCAAUUGCAGCAGCUGA